rnacentral:lncRNA from 1 species
AUAUUCAAGAUCAGGUUAACUCUGACCUGGAGGUGGCAUCUGUCCUAUUUAAAGGUUGAAAGUUAUGCUGAAUGCAAUAUCCAUACAUCUCCUUCUCCGGGAAUUCAAGUAAGGCAUGUCUACACCCCCUCUACAACAAAGCAUUUCUCACCCAUAAAACAGUCAACCACUUUAACCAACAAACACAGAGGAAAUGAGGUCUCUACCACACCUCUGUUAGCAAAUUCUUUGUCUGUUCACCAGUUGGCUGCUCAGGGAGAGAUGCUCUAUCUGGCUACUCGUAUCGAACAAGGUAAUAGCCUAUUUAAAAAUAUUUAAACAAAUUCAAUAGGAUUUAUUAGAUUUGUUAUUGUUUUAUUUUAAUAUAAGAAAGUCCUAAAGACAAAAACAAAUAGUUACAUAAACUCACCAGGCAGAUAACCCAAUGGAUAGUAAA